rnacentral:rRNA from 1 species
AUUGAACGCUGGCGGCAGGCCUAACACAUGCAAGUCGAGCGGAUGAAGGGAGCUAGCUCCUGGAUUCAGCGGCGGACGGGUGAGUAAUGCCUAGGAAUCUGCCUGGUAGUGGGGGAUAACGUCCGGAAACGGGCGCUAAUACCGCAUACGUCCUGAGGGAGAAAGUGGGGGAUCUUCGGACCUCACGCUAUCAGAUGAGCCUAGGUCGGAUUAGCUAGUUGGUGGGGUAAAGGCCUACCAAGGCGACGAUCCGUAACUGGUCUGAGAGGAUGAUCAGUCACACUGGAACUGAGACGCGGUCCAGACUCCUACGGGAGGCAGCAGUGGGGAAUAUUGGACAAUGGGCGAAAGCCUGAUCCAGCCAUGCCGCGUGUGUGAAGAAGGUCUUCGGAUUGUAAAGCACUUUAAGUUGGGAGGAAGGGCAGUAAGUUAAUACCUUGCUGUUUUGACGUUACCAACAGAAUAAGCACCGGCUAACUUCGUG